UACAGAGGGUGCAAGCGUUAAUCGGAAUUACUGGGCGUAAAGCGCGCGUAGGCGGUUGUGAAAGUCGGGUGUGAAAGCCCCGUGCUUAACCUGGGAAUUGCAUUCGACACUGCACGACUAGAGUCUGGGAGAGGGAAGGGGAAUUCCGGGUGUAGCGGUGAAAUGCGUAGAUAUCCGGAGGAACACCAGUGGCGAAGGCGCCUUCCUGGCCUAAGACUGACGCUGAGGUGCGAAAGCGUGGGGAGCAAACAGG
rnacentral:misc_RNA from 1 species